GUGGCGGACGAGGGGGUCUACUGCUGCAGAGUGAUCAUAACACCCAACACGUACAAAGUCUCCACUCGGCUGGAGGUGUCAGGUGCUGUCUGAUGUCAUGCUUGUUCUGCUUCUUUUGUAAAUUACUGGGGCCGGUCUCCGCCAUGCCACUUGAGAGGAAAGCUGAUCUAGGGUCAGUUUCGGAGUCGGUGGGCUGAUGUAUGGUCGGUCGGUUUCAGAGUAGGAGAGGAUCUAGGCCAAACCGGUAAUAUCGCUCCCAGAGGCUGUCACAGUCAUGGAGGGGGAGAAAAGGACACUGAUGUGUGAAAUCACAGGAUUCUACCCGGAGCAGUUGACCGUGACCUGGCUGAUCCAAAAUGGCUCCCAGUUGUCUCGUGGAGUAUGCACCGGAAUGGCUACGCCCAAUCCAGACGGGACCUACAGCGUCAGCAGUCUCAUCACUGUCCAGGCCACGGCUACGGAGAGCAGUGGAGUCGUGUAUGUCUGUCACGUCACGCACAGGUCCCACCCUGGGUACCACAGCAAAGGUGUCUUGUUGACCGUACAAGUUCCAGUAGGGCCAGGUUACGAUGUGGUAACACUAAUGGCAGUCACUAGUGUUAUCAGUGUUCUUCUGGUCUUCUCUGUCAUUGGCAGUGUGUUGGUCCUCUACAGGUACAUCCACACAGUUCCGCCCACUGUUUCUGAGAUCAUAAAACCAGCAAUCGUCUACGCCAUGAGGCCAACGGUCUUAAAAUGCACCAUUAAGAGCGUUCCGCGAAUUAAAGAGCUCAAGGUGAAAUGGUUCAGGGUAUUGGCCAAUGGGGAAUUUGCCGCUGCCUCCGACAGCCAAUCCAAGGCCCUGCUGAGCCCAGAGGAGCUGAGUGACCAGGCGAACUUGCACUUUGAGGGCCGGUUCCACGUGUCCACCCUGACCAUCUGUGUGUCUGUCAAGGAGGACAUGUCAAAGUACCAGUGUGUUGUACUGUACAGAGGCAGUAAGGUUACCAGGGAAACCACUGUCAGUGUAAAAGUGAAUCCAACAUUCCUUCAAAUCUCCAGCAUCCCUCAGAUCCCACAGGUGGGGAGGUCGCUGGUGCUAUGCUGUCGGGUUGAGAAAUUCUACCCAGAAAAAGUAGCUCUCGAGUGGUCAAGAAACGACGGGGAGCAAGUUAGCUCGAUCACUAAUUACGGACCGUUUUCUGACGACGAGAGCAUGUACAGCAUGUGGAGUAAGAUCAAACUGGUCAUGGCUGUGGAGGACGAGCGGGCAGUUUACACGUGCCGCGUUUAUCAUUCCAGUUUCCCUCUGGCAGGAUACAGAGAUGUUCUCUAUCAUAUCAAUUCACAAGGUACCCCUCCGAGCGUGAUGUUCAUCAGGUGUGAACCACCGCGGCCUCAACUGAGCGAGCAAUGCACGCUCAACCUCUGCGUCAAAGACUUCUGCCCUGAACAAGUGUCCAUCACCUGGUUCAAGAAUGGAAAAGUGAUCCCGGCUGGCCCGGUCUUCAACUCCCCGCCGAGCCUGAACAUCAACGGACUGUACUCCAUGUGGACCUUCUUCAGACUGACCCCCGCCCCCGAGGACAGCUGCACAGAAAUCAGCAGUCACUCAGAGGGUCAUGUCAGGGUCAGGCUAAAAGGACCAAUCACCAUGCUCGCCCCUGCUGCCGUCCUGUCUUGCCUCUCCCCACCCUUCUUCUUCGGUUUCACGGGUCGCGGUGCGAGGUCAGAAGAAGACGUCUCAAACUUGACCCUGCCGUCGGUACUCUUGGCACUAACAGCUCUGCUGCCGCCCGUGCUGGUGGCGAAGGUUGCCGGGGCCGACCGGGACCCGGUGAUUGAACGAGGGGCAACGGAGGAGCGGGAGACUGAGGUGGAGGGGGAUGUCUGGGGCCUCGUCGGGCCCCUCCGGCUGAGCCUCUUGUUCAUGACGAAGGCGAAGGUCUUCUGCUCCUCCGUCAGCUGACGCAUGCGGGUGAGCUGCUGUUGCUCCAGUGUCUUUAGAGUCUGGACCGUGGGGAAAUGGAGGACAGUGUGUGACAGUGUGGCAGGAAGUUGCUAAGCGAGCAUUUGACAAAUGUGUGCGUUAUAUGUCAAUUCUUUGUCCAGUCUAUACAGUGCAGGCUGAGGUUAGGGUUAAAGUUAGGAUCAGGGGUUAUAAUUGCAUUAAGACGUGGCUUUGGUUGGAAGGAAUUCCCACUCUUCUCAGACCAGCUACUUGACUGUCUUUUAAAUACGCUCUUCUUCUCCUCACUUUCUGUUAACUGAGUGUCCCCCUGUAGUACCACAAUAUGGAAUCAAUAGGAACAUGAAUUACAUUGCUCAGGUUGUAAAUGUGUAACUUGAUUUCCAGUUGCCAUGGUUCUUUUAUCGGUCGCCAUUUUGGGGACAUCCCGUUUGCCCAGAAUUUGCACCAAUGACAUCAAAGGACAUGGAGCUGAGAAAGACUAUUUGUUGUGACACAAUGGUGUGAGGAGGCUCUUUGAAAACUGAGAACAACUGAAUUCCUUGCACUUUAGGUUGCCAAACAAAACUAUGAAUGAGUCGUAAAAUGUGUGUGGGAUUCAUUUGAUUGUUUGUAAGAACUUUCACUGACGUAUGGUAACUACUACAUUAAAGAAAUACAAAAAUAGUAAUUUUGCAAAGAUGUAUGCUUGUUUUAAUGUGUGGUAAAAAAAAUGAUAUAUU